CAAACACAAUGCUGGUUCAUAUGCCUAGCACCUGCUAACAAAAUCUCAGUUAUCUGCAAGGCCAGUCAUUGGAGUUGGAGCGUGGUAGAUGGGUUGGAGCAGAGCAUGGUAGAUGGAUUGGAGAACAGACCAGGUCAUGCAGACAGCUCUAACGGCACAUUAGAGUUAACUUUAUAUUUCUGGCUAACUUGGAGGCUUGGCUGCUUCCCCAUCAGUUCACUACUUCUAAUUGUUCGAGUGCAGCUGUACUCGAGACAAACACAAUCCAGUAAGGUAGUUUGUUCAAAUAGAUCUCAGAUGUUGAAUGAAGAUUAUAAGAUGUAGGUUAAAUUGAAGGAAAUAAGAGAGACUUGCACGUGUACUUAUCAGGUUGAAUUGGGUUUUGAAAAAAUCUCUGAAAGUGAAAACCGUGAUAUUGAUAUGUCUGUGAUUGAUAGUUCAUGCGGUGCUGUACAAUGCAAGAAGGCGUUGACCGUCUUAUAUAUGUAUUGCUGCUCUCUGCCAGAAACCAAAUAAAUAACACUUCUAUGUUGCUGCUCACUGAUCGAUGCUAAAUAUAUGGCUUGUUCUUGAGGAUUGUUUU